GUGGAUUAGAUACCCUAGUAGUCCACGCCCUAAACGAUGAACACUCGAUGUUGGCGAUAUACGGUCAGCGUCUAAGCGAAAGCGUUAAGUGUUCCACCUGGGGAGUACGCCCGCAAGGGUGAAACUCAAAGGAAUUGACGGGGGCCCGCACAAGCGGAGGAGCAUGUGGUUUAAUUCGAUGAUACGCGAGGAACCUUACCCGGGCUUGAAAGUUAGUGAAUGAGACAGAGACGUCUCAGUCCUUCGGGACACGAAACUAGGUGCUGCACGGCCGUCGACAACU
rnacentral:rRNA from 1 species